rnacentral:lncRNA from 1 species
UCGGUUUCGCUCCUAAGUGCAUGUUUCGUCGACGUGUAUAGUUCGAUUUUGUAUAUCAUGCUUUAAUUCAUCGAUUAGCAUUUUGGACGUAAUAUGAAUAUAAAAGCAUGCUGAAAUGAAUGUUUAUAUUAUACAUGUUGGACUUGAAUUUUGACUUAGGAGAAAACCUACGUUUUGACCCGUCAUAUGCUUAAACUACCAGAUUUAGCUCUAGGAGCCGUGUUUCGAUUGUAUCGUUGCCGUAUCAGUGCGAUGGAUACCUAAGGUAGUUUAGAAGGCAUUUACGCUCGUGCUGGGAUGCCAAGCUUAUUUUUCAGCAGAGUAUAGGCUGUUUCGGGUCGUUGGGUGCCGUUCGGGAUAGCGGUGGACCCAGAUUCUUGUUUUGGUCACAGAUUGUGCCGAGGGCACGUGGGUUUGGUUUGUAGACCUGUUUUGACCCUGUUCACUUGACUUUGGCUAGUUGGAGCCUGAUUGAGCUCGACAGAGAUAUGCUGCAUACUCGGUUGGGUAGCGUCCACGAGUGCCACUCCGGAGUCAUGCUUUGUGCUUUCGCGUUGAUGUCGCUCAUGCCAGUUGGACUUACUCUCCACGGACCAGUUAGUGUGGAUAGAGCCUGAUAGUCGCAACGGGGCAGGGACGGGUGUAUUCACAGUCCCGGGGACGGGUAUGCCUACAGUCCCGAUUGGAUUGGGUCAGAUUUGACAUUUCCUACAGUUGGUUAGUGUAGAGCAUGAUAGUGUAGUGAUUGAUAGCGGUAGAGUGUACUUCCUGCUUUUCCUACUAUUUUUGCUCCUUUCUGUAGACUUAGUGGGUGGACCGAUGUUGUUUUGGGCGGUACCCACUGAGGACUACUUGUUUUUACAGUAAUUCUCACGCCCAGUUGUUACCCGUUUUUGCAGAGCCUUCCUUUUCGGCUGCUGCUGUUGCUGAUCGGAUCUAGGCAAGGGCGUCGCGAGUUAGAGCCCUACCCGAGGAGGAGAGCUAGAGGCACCCCUACUGCAGGUAGAUGUUUUGGUUUGGGUUCAUGUACAUACAGACUUUUAACUCGCCAGCGCCAGUAGUUUUGUACUCUGGGAUUCAGUGUAUGUAUAUGGAACUCGGUUUCUUUUACUUUACUAGUUCUUCUAGCAGCUCUAUACUACUGUUUGUAGUAUUGUAUGUUUUACAGGUACAGCUGUCGCUUCGUAUACAGGGAAAAUUCCUUUGUAUACGGCGGAUUUGUCGGCGUGCCCGGGGGAUGUGUAAUCCGGGGCGUGACAAAUUAAGUUGGUAUCAGAGCUUUGCUGUAGGUCGUGGGGACCUAGGAAACCUAUGUUUAGCAAACCUUAGGGAAGCAAGACGCGAGAGGCGUAAUCUAAUUGCGAAAGUCACUGAUUAGUUGUUCUAACUCCUCCGUGAGUGGGGUGAGUGAUUGAAGGAGUACCUGUUUUGGCCUGAGAAAUUAUGUUGGCUGCAGACGACAUAAUUUUGGAGGGAAACAGGGACCGCCUUCCAGACUUUCGUUGAUUGGGUCGAGAGUGUUGUAUUGUAUCCGACCCCGAUUUGUUCCUUUCAGCUAUGUAUCGUCGCCGAGGUCGACCGUCGUUGCGGGAGUGUGCCCAGUUGGCACGGGAUCGUGCUAGACCUUCUGAGAGAUCUGAGCAGAUGGAGCAGAGUACUCGGCAGGAGCAGGGUGACAGACCGGAGGCGAGUGCACCCCCUGUUGUGGAGCCGAGUACGCGACCUGAGGCUAGCGCACCCCCUGAUCUGAGUGCACAGUUAGCUGCCCUGACCGACGUGACGAGGCAGCAGGGGGAGUUGUUGCAGAGGUUGUGUGAGAGGGUAGCUCAGCUACUGAGUUCAGCACCGAGAGUACCAGAGUCGCCAGUUCCACCCCCGACUACUCCAGUGACAGUACCAGCUGCAGCAGUCCCUCCGCCAGCAGCAGUUCCAGUAGCGCCAGUUACGCCUGCUGGGGGGCCAGUACAGUUGACUUAGGCCGAGCAGGAGCGGUGGACGGAGAGGUUGGCUCGUUUUCGCCGAUUUGACCCACCGAUUUUUGAUGGCAGAUGCACUGAGGCCUGGGUUGUUGAGGGCUGGGUCAGUGCGAUGGAGAAGCUAUUCGAGAAUCUUUUCAUUCCUGAGGUGGAGCGAGGUGAGGCAUCGCUGCAGGAGAGGACUCAGGCCAUGGGGCAGAGUCAGGACAGGAAGCGCCCUUUCCGGACGGCGGAGGACAGUCGAGCAGCAGACGUCCGCCGAGGCCUCCACGAUCACGUUCUCAGGGUCGUGGGUCUUCGGGGCGUCAGCGUUCCAGGGGAUUCCGUCAGCAGGGGCAGACUCAGAGGACGCCACAGUGUGUGAUUUGCGGGGGACCACACUAGCCCCGGCAGUGCGAGCAGAGAGAGGGCAGAUGCUACGGAUGUGGUCAGCCGGGACACAUGAGGGCAGCUUGUCCCCGAGCAGCAUCUCCAGCACCAUCAUCAGCUUCAGCACCACCAGCACCACAGCAGUCUUACGGAGCAGCACCGAGUUACCGCCAGGAGGACAGAUCGUCUGUGCCGCGUUAGGGUGAGCGGCGAUUGCAGGCUCCGAGUGGCAGAGUCUACGCAGCUCAGGUGGAGGACUCUACAGCAGCCGACAGAAUGGUGGCAGGCACGAAAGGUGCAGAUCUUCGACCAUGUCUUGCAGGUUACAGAGUGUUGUUGGUCCUGUCAAGUGCAGUUAGACUCUUGGAUCAUGCCCGCAGACCUGUUGGUGUUAGGGCAGCUGUAGGACUUCGACGUAGUGCUCGGUAUGGAUUGGCUGGUGCGGUACUAUGCCACUAUCGACUGUGGAGCGAGGAUUGUGACGUUCCGCGAGCCAUGCCAGAAGGAGUUCACCUUCAGAGACCGGAGGAGCACGUUAUUUGCCACAUGGAUAUCUUCGGCGAGGGCUCGACAGCUGAUGAGUAGAGGAUGUGUUGCUUUUCUAGUGACUGUGACAGAGGUGCCUACGGCGGCGCCGGGACUCGAGGAUAUCCCUAUAGUCCGCGAGUUUCCGGACGUGUUUCCCCCGGAGUUGACGACGAUGCCGCCGGAGAGGGAGAUAGAGUUUGAGAUUGAUGUAGUUCUUGGAACUGCACCAAUCUCAAAGGCAUCUUACAGGAUGGCACCGGCAGAGCUGAGAGAGCUAAAGGCGCAACUUCAGGAUCUGAUGGAUAGAGGGUUUGUGAGACCCAGUGUGUCGCCUUGGGGAGCGCCGGUGUUAUUUGUAAAGAAGAAGGAUGAUUCGCUCAGGUUAUGUGUUGAUUACCGGAAGCUGAAUAAGGUGACCAUUAAGAACAAGUAUCCUCUGCCGCGCAUUGAUGAUUCGAUCAGCUGCAAGGAUCUUGUGUCUUUUCGAAGAUUGAUCUCCAGUCAGGCUAUCACCAGCUGAGGGUGAGGGCCGAGGAUGUUCCCAAGACGGCUUUUCGGACUCGGUACGGGCAUUAUGAGUUCACGGUGAUGCCUUUUGGAUUGACGAAUGCCCCUGCCGCAUUCAUGGAUUUGAUGAACUGAGUGUUCAAGCCGUUCUUGGAUAGGUUUGUGGUAGUCUUCAUCGACGAUAUCUUGAUAUACUCCCGGAGUGAUGCUGAGCAUGAGGAGCACUUGAGGAUUGUGCUACAGCUUCUGCGCGAGAAGAAGUUGUAUGCCAAGUUAAAGAAGUGCGAGUUCUGGCUACGGGAGGUUGCUUUCUUGGGCCAUGUGAUUUCAGCUGAGGGCGUAGCAAUGGACCCGAAGAAGAUUGAGGCGAUUCGAGAUUGGCCUAGACCGACGACGGUUAUUGAGGUACGGAGCUUCCUGGGACUGGCAGGAUAUUACCGUCGGUUUGUGGAAGGCUUUGCGAAGCUUUCCACACCCCUCACACGCUUGACGCGGAAGGGGAUUCGUUUUGUCUGGAACGACGACUGUCAGAGGAGCUUUGACGAGUUGAGAUUGAGGUUGAUGUCGGCUCCUAUCCUUGCCCUUCCUGUUAUGGGCGAAGGAUUCGUGAUCUACAGUGAUGCAUCGCACAGUGGACUUGGUUGCGUGCUGAUGCAGCAUGGUAGGGUGAUUGCUUAUGCUUCACGGCAGUUAAAGGAUUAUGAGAAGAAUUACCCUACGCAUGACUUGGAGCUUGCCGCGGUAGUCUUUGCUUUGAAGUUGUGGCGGCAUUACUUAUACGGCGAGCACUGCGAGAUUUUUACUGAUUAUAAAAGUCUCAAGUAUCUGUUCACCCAAGAGGAGUUGAAUUUGAGGCAGCGCCGGUGGUUGGAGUUGCUGAAGGACUAUGACAUUACUAUUCAGUAUCAUCCCGGCAAAGCGAAUGUGGUGGCAGAUGCGUUGAGCAGGAAGGCAGUGCAGAGCUUGAGUAUGUUGAUCACUCGGCAGAGACCGUUACUCGAGGAGCUGAGACGGCUGGGACUCGAGGUAGUUUCCCCUGGAUUUACUGCGAGAUUGACGUCUAUGAUCUUGCAGCCCACUCUGUUGGAUAGGAUUCGAGAGAAACAGAGUGGAGAUCCACACUGUCGAGGAUUCGAGAGCAGCUAGACAGGGGGCAAGCUGAGGGUUUUGCUGUGGACAGUUCGGGAGUACUGCGGUACAGGGACCGACUGUGUGUACCUAUGGAUUCAGAGAUCCGAGAGGACAUCUUGCGAGAGGCUCACUGUUCACCUUAUACUGUUCACCCCGGUGGAACCAAAAUGUAUAAGGAUUUAAAGGCCCAGUUUUGGUGGAAUGGAAUGAAGAGGGACAUUGGUAGAUUUGUGGCUUAGUGUCUGACUUGUCAACAGGUGAAGACCGAGCAUCAGGUACCUGCUGGCAAGCUUCAGAGUCUACCAGUGCCCGAGUGGAAAUGGGAGCAGAUCACGAUUGACUUUGUCGUUGGAUUGCCGAGAGCACAGGGUGGUUUUGAUGCGAUUUGGGUGAUAGUGGACAGACUGACCAAUUCUGCUCACUUCCUACCAGUGCAGACCACUUGGUCCAGAGAAAGACUCGCUCAGUUGUAUUUGGAUGAGAUAGUGAGGUUGCCUGGCGUGCCCACUUCGAUAGUAUCCGACCGGGACACGGGGUUCGUAUCACGCUUUUGGAGGAGUCUUCAGACGGCCUUGGGCACUCAGUUGCAGUUCAGCACAGUAUUUCACCCACAGACAGAUGGCCAGUCUGAGCGGACCAUUCAGACUCUAGAGGACAUGCUGAGGGCAUGUGUCUUGGACUUUGGAGGAGGGUGGUAUCGGCAUUUGAGACUGGUUGAGUUUGCGUACAACAACAGCUAUCAAGCGAGCAUCCAGAUGGCUCCGUUUGAGGCGUUGUAUGGACGCAGAUGUCGAUCCCCUUUGUUUUGGAGUGAUGUGGGUGAAAGGAGGACGCUUGGGCCUGAGAUUCUGAUUGAGACUGAGGAAAAGGUAAAAGAGGUGCGACGGCACAUAUUAGCAGCCCAGAGUCGACAGAGGAGCUAUGCUGAUACCCGGAGACGAGACUUGGAGUUCCAGGUGGGAGAUCAUGUUUUUCUUAAAGUCUCGCCGUCCAGAGGGAUUCGCCGAUUUGGUGUACGUGGAAAGCUCAGUCCACGUUUUGUAGGCCCUUUCGAGGUAUUGGAGCGAGUCGGGCCAGUUGCUUACAGGAUUGCUCUACCACCACGGCUAGCCGGCAUUCAUGAUGUGUUCCACGUCUCGGCUUUGAGGAAAUAUGUGUUCGACCCCUCCCACGUGAUCGACUUCACUCCGCUUGAGAUUGGCGAGGACCUGAGCUACGAGGAGCGACCGGUGCGGAUUCUGGCUCGUGAGACGAGGGAAUUGCGCAACCGGGUCAUACCCUUUGUAAAGGUGCAGUGGAGUAAUCACGAGGAGCGGGAGGCGACUUGGGAGCUUGAGACGGUGAUGAGGGAAGCCUAUCCCUAUCUGUUUGAUGCUUGAGUAGAGGUACGUUCAGUUUCGCGGACGAAACUUUUUGUAGAGGGGGAGGAUGUGAGAUCCCUGGUGUUUGACUGUGGAGGCUUGUCGACAGCUCUGGAGAGUGUCGGGACAAGCCCGAGUCGCGUUGGCGUCAAAUAGACGUAAAACGGACUCCGUCGGACGCGAGAGCAGCCUUCAGCGAAGAAAUCUGCGAAAUAGCAGAUUUUCCUGCUGGCUGUACCGGUACAGCCAGCGAGGUGUACCGGUACGCUAUACUGGCUGAGCGCGUACUGCUCUCGGGUUAGCUUCCUGUACCGGUACGCGAUCCCGUGUACCGGUACACCAGAGUAGGUGAGGGGCUUUUUAGUAUUUUUACCUUGCCUCGUUUGUAUCUCCUUCACUCCCCUCUAUAUAGUUCCGUGUAAGGAGAGAGAGAGAGGCCUUCUUGCUGCAAUUCUCCAUCUCUCUCACUCUCCCAUCCGGUUGAAGGCAAGAGGAAGCUCGGAUUCGUCGCCGACGUCGCGCCGCGGAGCCGUUCGGGCAUACUUCCGUCGUCGUGUUGCUGCGAGCAGGCCGGGCGAGCGGAGGUUUUCGCCGUUUUUCUGUCGCAGCGGUGCCCGGUGUUGUCGAGGUGAGUAUUUCAGCAUUUCCCUGGAUUUUGGGCAAGUUUUUACUACUUCGACUCGGUAAAUUGUUGUUUGCUGAAAUCCACCGUCGACUGUUAGUAUUUCAGCUCGUUCUCGACGUAGGAGCAUCGGAUUGCGACGAGACUUGGCUCGUUGGAUUCAGGACUUCGAGAGGAAUCCACGAAGCCCUUACUUGCGAAUUUUGGUGAAGGUUAGCUUGGUCGAAACCCUUCCCUUCUCUGCUGCGAUUUCUGGACUGAAUUGGUGAAUUUUGUUGCGUAGAGCUCGGGCUUAGGCGAUUUCUGUACUCGGCGGGUUCCGGGUGAUCCAGCAGGUUGCUCUACACCAGGGGGAGUCCUUCGCUGCCAGGGAUUAGCAUUUUAGGUGGGUUACAUCGGUUUUACUCCUAAGUGUUAUUAGUCGACAUGUAUAAAUCGUGAUUUCUACAAUAGUUGUUAGCUCAAAUUCAUGGAUUAUUGUUAGAAUGUAAAAUCUGAAUUUUCGAGCAUAUUUUAUCAAGUAAAUAGAUUAUACAUGUUGGACUUGGAAAUUGAAUUAGGAGAAAACCUGCGAUUUGGACCUGUCACCAGUUUUAACUACCUGAUUUAGCUCUAGGAGCCGUUAGAAAAUUGUACUGUCGCAGUUUCUUCGAGACGAGUACUCCAGGUAGUUUAGAAUGUAUUUACACUCGUGCUGGUUCGCCGAGUGGAUUUUUACAGGGUCGUUCAGGUUGUUUCGGACUGUUGGGUGCCGUCAGAGUUGACGGUGGACCCGUAUCGCCUUUUUGGCGUCAGAUUGUGCCGAGGGCACGUUACCUGUUGGUUGUUAGACCAGUUUGAGUCGAUUACUUGACUUUGGCUAGUUGGAGCCUGAUUGAGCUCGACAGAGAUACGCUGCAUACUCGGUUGGGUAGCGCCCACGAGUGCCACUCCGGAGUCAGGCUUUGUGCUUUCGCGUUGGUGUCGCUCAUGCCAGUUGGACUUGCUCUCCACGGACCAGUUAGUGUGGAUAGAGCCUGAUAGUCGCAACGGGGCAGGGACGGGUGUAUUCACAGUCCCGGGGACGGGUAUGCCUACAGUCCCGAUUGGAUUGGGUCAGAUUUGACAUUUCCUACAGUUGGUUAGUGUAGAGCAUGAUAGUGUAGUGAUUGAUAGCGGUAGAGUGUACUUCCUGCUUUUCCUACUAUUUUUGCUCCUUUCUGUAGACUUAGUGGGUGGACCGAUGUUGUUUUGGGCGGUACCCACUGAGGACUACUUGUUUUUACAGUAGUUCUCACGCCCAGUUGUUACCCGUUUUUGCAGAGCCUUCCUUUUCGGCUGCUGCUGUUGCUGAUCGGAUCUAGGCAAGGGCGUCGCGAGUUAGAGCCCUACCCGAGGAGCAGAGCUAGAGGCACCCCUACUGCAGGUAGAUGUUUUGGUUUGGGUUCAUGUACAUACAGACUUUUAACUCGCCAACACCAGUAGUUUUGUACUCUGGGAUUCAGUGUAUGUAUAUGGAACUCGGUUUCUUUUACUUUACUAGUUCUUCUAGCAGCUCUAUACUACUGUUUGUAGUAUUGUAUGUUUUACAGGUAUAGCUGUCGCUUCGUAUACAGGGAAAAUUCCUUUGUAUACGGCGGAUUUGUCGGCGUGCUCGGGGAAUGUGUAAUCCGGGGCGUGACACGCACCCUCCAAAUCAGUACUCCGGAGUAGCUUAGCGACAGAUUGCUCGCUUAUGUACAAACUUGAGCGCCGAAAUGGAUUGCUGUGGAUAGUGUUGACUUCUACGGGGCCAUUAGGCACGGCGCGGCUGGGACUUUACCUUGUGUAAGUCUCGUGUUAAUUGGGUUAUUUUAACCUCAGCUAGACAUAGUAG